rnacentral:rRNA from 1 species
CCUACGGGUGGCAGCAGUGGGGAAUAUUGGACAAUGGGCGAAAGCCUGAUCCAGCCAUGCCGCGUGUGUGAAGAAGGCCUUCGGGUUGUAAAGCACUUUCAGUGGGGAAGAAAGCCUUGGGGCUAAUACCCUCGAGGAAGGACAUCACCCACAGAAGAAGCACCGGCUAACUCCGUGCCAGCAGCCGCGGUAAUACGGAGGGUGCGAGCGUUAAUCGGAAUUACUGGGCGUAAAGCGCGCGUAGGCGGUCUGAUAAGCCGGUUGUGAAAGCCCCGGGCUCAACCUGGGAACGGCAUCCGGAACUGUCAGGCUAGAGUGCAGGAGAGGAAGGUAGAAUUCCCGGUGUAGCGGUAAAAUGCGUAGAGAUCGGGAGGAAUACCAGUGGCGAAGGCGGCCUUCUGGACUGACACUGACGCUGAGGUGCGAAAGCGUGGGUAGCAAACAGGAUUAGAUACCCCGGUAGUC